rnacentral:tRNA from 1 species
UGGGGCGUGGCCAAGUGGUAAGGCAACGGGUUUUGGUCCCGCUAUGCGGAAGUUCGAAUCCUUCCGUCCCAG